rnacentral:rRNA from 1 species
GACGAACGCUGGCGGCGUGCUUAACACAUGCGAGUCGAACGGAAAGGCCCUGCUUUUGUGGGGGGCUCGAGUGGCGAAAGGGUGAGUAACACGUGAGUAACCUGCCCUUGACUUUGGGAUAAUUUCGGGAAACUGGGGAUACUACCGGAUAGGAGUUCCUGCUGCAUGGAGGGGGUUGGAAAGUUUCGGCGGUUGGGGAUGGACUCGCGGCUUAUCAGCUUGUUGGGGGGGGAGUGGCUUACCAAGGCUUUGACGGGUAGACGGCCUGAGAGGGUGACCGGCCACAUUGGGACUGAGAUACGGCCCAGACUCCUACGGGAGGCAGCAGUGGGGAAUAUUACACAAUGGGCGGAAGCCUGAUGCAGCAACUCCGCGUGCGGGAUGACGGCCUUCGGGUUGUAAACCGCUUUCGCCUGUGACGAAGCGUGAGUGACGGUAAUGGGUAAAGAAGCACCGGCUAACUACGUG